UGGAGAGAAAGGCAGUUCCUGAUGGUCCCCUCCCAGGGGCUGGCUUUCCUCUGGU
rnacentral:pre_miRNA from 2 species